rnacentral:rRNA from 1 species
AUUUAUUAAAGGGCCGCGGUAUAUUGACUGUGCAAAGGUAGCAUAAUCAUUUGUCUCUUAAUUGGAGGCUGGAAUGAAUGGUUGAAUGAAAUAUUAACUGUCUCAUUUUUAAAAUUAUAAAAAUUUAGCUUUUAAGUCAAAAGGCUUAAAUAAAUUUAGAGGACGAGAAGACCCUAUAGAUCUUUAUAAUUAAAUUAAAUUUAUAAUAUAGAAAAUUAAUUAAUAAAAUUAAUUUAAUUAUUUUAUUGGGGUGAUAGGAAAAUUUAAUAAACUUUUUUUAAUUAUAAACAUUAAUUUAUGAUUAUUUGAUCCAUUUUUAGUGAUUAAAAGAUUAAGUUACCUUAGGGAUAACAGCGUAAUUUUUUUAA